rnacentral:lncRNA from 10 species
CGCAUGGAAUUUAGUGGCUAGUUACUAUGAACAGUUGCCUUAUGGGAGAUGCGGGUUGAUGACGGCCCAGGAGCCAUGGAGUGGGCACUACGUGGUAGAAUCUCCUGUCUGGGUAUCAGCUCAUACCACUCAGUUUACUCAACCUGGCUGGUAUUACCUGAAGACAGUUGGCCAUUUAGAGAAAGGAGGAAGCUACGUAGCUCUGACUGAUGGCUUAGGGAACCUCACCAUCAUCAUUGAAACCAUGAAUCUUACUCUGCACUUCCAGGCUGGAGUACAGUGGUGCAAUCUUGGCUCACUGCAACCUCUGCCUCCUGGGUUCAAGUGAUUCUUCUGCCUCAGCCUCCCAAGUGGCUGGGAUUACAGGCGUCUGCCACCACACCUGGCUCAUUUUUGUAUUUUUAGUAG